AUGGCGCAGAGGGAGAAAUCGUCCGUCGCGGUCGCCUCCCUGUCGUCCUCGGCGCCAACCGCCGUGCCCUCGGGCGAGCGGUGGGGCGCCGCGAUCGGCAACCUGGGAGAGCUGGGCGCCAACGUCGAGUCGCUGCAGAAGCUGCUCGCCCGGAAGGCCGUCUUCGUCGACGACGACGUCUUCUCCAAGGCCUCCCUCGCCUCCGAACAGGCCCGCUCCAUCAAGAUUCUUGACCAGAGGGUGCAGUCUCUGGAACGUGAACUGGACGCUGCCAUUUCUGCAGCUGCUCGAGCCCGUACAGAAAAACGCCAGGCUGAAGCUGCUCAACGAGCUGCAGAGCUGCAUGCACAGGAAGUCACGAAGGAGCUGGAGAACACCGCAAGAGUUUUCCAGCUGCACAUGGAAGAGCUGCGGGCAAAACAAGAGGAGAUCGCCAAGAGAGAUAGUGAUAUCAAGGUGUUGGAAGCAAUAAUACGAACCCUGAGUAGCAAAGAUGAUGGCGGAUCCAGCGAGUAA
rnacentral:rRNA from 1 species